rnacentral:rRNA from 1 species
AUUGAACGCUGGCGGAAUGCUUUACACAUGCAAGUCGAACGGCAGCACGGACUUCGGUCUGGUGGCGAGUGGCGAACGGGUGAGUAAUACAUCGGAACGUGCCCAGUCGUGGGGGAUGACGUAGCGAAAGCUACGCUAAUACCGCAUACGAUCUAAGGAUGAAAGCGGGGGGUCGCAAGACCUCGCGCGAUUGGAGCGGCCGAUGGCAGAUUAGGUAGUUGGUAGGGUAAAGGCCUACCAAGCCGACGAUCUGUAGCUGGUCUGAGAGGACGACCAGCCACACUGGGACUGAGACACGGCCCAGACUCCUACGGGAGGCAGCAGUGGGGAAUUUUGGACAAUGGACGCAAGUCUGAUCCAGCCAUUCCGCGUGCAGGAUGAAGGCCCUCGGGUUGUAAACUGCUUUUGUACAGAACGAAAAGGCUCUGGUUAAUACCUGGAGCUCAUGACGGUACUGUAAGAAUAAGCACCGGCUAACUACGUGCCAGCCGCCGCGGUAA